rnacentral:lncRNA from 11 species
CUGAAGACAGCGCACUUCACUCAUGGUCUUUAAAGCUAAUGCAUGCUGUGGGGAGAGACAGGAGGCUUUGGCAUGCCGUGAUCCAGGUCCAGUUUUCUGAAGCAAGCUGUUGGAAUUUAGUACUUUGGCGCUGGCACAGUGUCGCCCCAUACACCGAUCGACAUCCGGCUUGCUGACCCACCUCCC